GAAUUAGUGGUUCGGUUGUAAAACUUCCACCUUCCAUGUGGGAGACCUGGUUUCAAUUCCUAGCCAAUACA
rnacentral:tRNA from 1 species